rnacentral:rRNA from 1 species
UACGUAGGGGGCUAGCGUUGUCCGGAUUUAUUGGGCGUAAAGAGCUUGUAGGCGGUUUGUCGCGUCUGCCGUGAAAUUUCGGGGCUCAACCCCGAACUUGCGGUGGGUACGGGCAGACUAGAGUGUGGUAGGGGAGACUGGAAUUCCUGGUGUAGCGGUGAAAUGCGCAGAUAUCAGGAGGAACACCGAUGGCGAAGGCAGGUCUCUGGGCCACUACUGACGCUGAGGCGCGAAAGCGUGGGGAGCGAACAGG